rnacentral:rRNA from 1 species
GCCUACGGGGGGCAGCAGUAGGGAAUUUUCGUCAAUGGGCGCAAGCCUGAACGAGCAAUGCCGCGUGAACGAGGAAGGUCUUCGGAUCGUAAAGUUCUGUUGAAGGGGAAAAAGAGCGGAGAGAGGAAAUGCUUUCUGAUUGAUAUUACCCUUCGAGGAAGUCACGGCUAACUACGUGCCAGCAGCUGCGGUAAUACGUAGGUGGCGAGCGUUAUCCGGAAUGAUUGGGCGUAAAGGGUGCGUAGGCGGCCUGCUAAGUCUGGAGUGAAAGGUACCGGCUCAACCGGUACAGGCUCUGGAAACUG